AUUUAAAUAGCUUAUUUAGAGCAUGAUAUUGAAGCUAUCAAGGAAGUUGUUAACUUUUAAAU
rnacentral:tRNA from 1 species